rnacentral:rRNA from 1 species
UGGGAACGUGCCUUUUGGUUCGGAACAACCCAGGGAAACUUGGGCUAAUACCGGAUAAGCCCUUACGGGGAAAGAUUUAUCGCCAAAAGAUCGGCCCGCGUCUGAUUAGCUAGUUGGUGGGGUAAUGGCCACCAAGGCUACGAUCAGUAGCUGGUCUGAGAGGAUGAUCAGCCACAUUAGGACUGAGACACGGCCCAAACUCCUACGGGAGGCAG